UCCUCUACGACCACAUCCAGCCGGUGCGCGU
rnacentral:piRNA from 1 species